rnacentral:lncRNA from 14 species
GGGGGCUCGGAGCUGCUGCUUGUGCUGGGACCUUGUCACCAUGGGGGUCGGGUGCCCCCCGAGCCCCGCUGCGCCCAUGGAGCCCUUUGUUGGCCCUGCUGGUGACGGCCACGUCCCUGCCCUGCAGGAUGGGAGAUGAGCCAUGGACUGGGAACGGGCACACGGAGUGCGGCUCCUGCGGGACUGGGGCUCACAGCGGCCCUGGGGAUGGCCUCGUGUAGAGGACCCGGGGGGCUCCCGGCGCUCCCUGUCCUUCCUGACUGAGGAUGCCACCGAAGGCAGCAUCUGUGCUGUGCUCCCCGAGGCCGGGUCCCUGCUGCAGGAGCCAGGGGGCUGCAGUGGUUUGAGGGGGUCCGUCCCAUCCCUCUCCAUCCCCUCCCUUGCCCCAUGGCUCCAGGGGGACCCCGAAGGCUCAGCUGUGCCCCCGCAUCCCCUCGCCUCCAGCACGCUGCUCUCGGACAGGGAUGAGCCCAGGGAGGGACCCCGGAGCAGGACCACGGUGGGAGGUUCAGGGGGUACCCCCAAGGUUCUCCCCCAGCCCUGCCCUCGGGUUGUGCCCAGUCCCUGUCCCCCGCAGCUGUUCGGUCCGGAUGGGUCCCUGCGCCGGCCCCAGCGCCGCAGCAGGGGCUGGGGGACAGCCGGGGCAGUGCCUGAGCCCCCCGGGCACGGUGGCAGCCCUGGGGACAGCAGCAGCGACUGCGAGUGCUUCGUUAGCGCCCUGGAGACCCUGGGCGCUCGGUGCUGCUGCUCCGUGGGGCUGGAGCUGCGGGAAGCCCCUUCCCCACACGGAGCUGACCCCACGGAGCUGCCCCCCCCGGCAUCCCCCCAGCCCCAGAGCUGGUGCGGGAUGGGGGUUCUGGGGGAGCCUCGAGGGCAGCCCCUUGCUGUGAGGAUGCUUCGGACACGGGUGAUGUAGGGAAGCUCCUCACCCAGCUCCAGGGGUGCAGGCUCCAGGGGUCACCCCCCUCCACCCCAGGGCCUCUUCCCAGGCUCGUCCCCAGUGGGGAUGUGAUCCCGCAGGAGCCCCCCAUGUACCGACAUGUCACCCCCCGGACCCGCAGCCGCCUCCUGGCCUCUGCAGAGCGCUUCGGUGCCUCCUCUUCCUCCUCUGUUUCCGAUGACACAUUGGAGAUGCCGCAGAGGCCCCAUAGGGUCAGAGCCCCCCGGGGUGUCCGCAGGGAUCCUGCUGCCACCUCAGGGUGCUGUGUCACCCCGCAGGGCACAGAUGAGUGCAGUGGGGACGGAGAGGAGACAGAGUCUGUGGGUGACACUGUGCUCCUCCCUAGAGCCUCCAGCAGCUCCCCUGGCUCCAGCCCCACGGUGCUGCUGGUCCCUGGGCAUCAUGGGCAUCCCCAGUGCCCUCCAUCAGAUGCUCAUGGCUCCAACCCCAUGGUGCUGCUGGUCCCUGGGUACCCCCAGUGCCCCCCAGAUGCUCAGGGCUCCCCAUGUGCCACCUUCAGGGACAGUGAGGAGGAGGGUGGCUCUGGCUGCCAGGACCCUUUGCCCUUGGGGGCACCGCAGCCCCCGUGGCUCCACAGGCGCUUCUGCCGUCUUUUGGCACCGCGGGCCCCGGCUGUGCCCCCCAGCACCGAAGAG